CGGAUGGUUUCUCCCUCCUAGCCACUGUGUGGCACUGCGUUAUUUCAAUCGUCGCUGUGACAGCAGGGCGGCAUCCGGCGCCGCUGCAUAUAUAUAUAUACACAAGUGGGUGGCUUUACCUCAGUCUCAUGCUUUCUCUUGAGCUCUCCCUGUGGCGGUGACUGCAGCCAAGCGGGCUGGAUCUGGUGUGACCGAUCGGGGCGUACAUAAUAUCGCUGGUACAGUGACGCUGGGAGACAGGUCGCUCCGUUCAGCGUGCCGUGGGUGCUUCUGUGACGACAGGUCUAUUUGCUGCUGUUUUUGUUGGAUCUCCUCCGCCUGCAUUGCUGCUACGCUGCGCCACGGCUAACCGGACCUGUCCAGGGUGUCCCCUGCCUUCGCCCGAGUCAGCUGGGAUAGGCUCCAGCACCCCCCCCGCGACCCUAGUGAGGAUAAAGCGGUGUAUAGAGGAUGGAUGGAUGGAUGUUUACCUUUACGAGGUUGCAGCUAAACGUGUGGUUCAUUGGACGCCACCGCUUCCCUGGACUGGCUGCUGUUUCAGCUCUUUUGUGACGUCUCUCUUUUUGGUGCCUAUAACUCUUUGCUGUGGCUCUCUGUUUCGGCUCUUUCUUUUGUUACGGCUCUCUUUUUAGUGUCUACAACUUACUGUUUCGACUGUGUUGGCGUGUAUUUUCUGUAGGCUUAUCGCCAACGUGUUAGAUUUUACUGCAUUGUACUCCUGACGUUAAAAACCUCAGGCUAUGAGGAUUAUGAUGUCUUAUAUUGUACCUGUGUUUUAAAUGCUGUUGUGUGGAGUGAAUGAGUGUGUGUGUGUUUUAAUAGUGUAUAUUGGCUUGCCUCUUAUAUUUAAUAAUAUAAUUAAAUAAAGAAAUUGUUAUAUUUUUGGAAA